AAUUAGUAGUCUUUCCUGUUUAAUAAGUUAUCUGAAAUCAGAAUGCAUUUUCCCUGUCCGUAUGUUCUCUUAUAUAGCCUAAAACUAAUAGCUGUAAAUUCAGCAAAUCUCCCUGGGUUGUUGAUUGCCUAUAAUUCUUAAGAUUUUAUCUGUAUGUUUGAUUAGUGAUCUACUUGUCUUUUCCUCUCAUGUUACAUCUUCCAGCAUUUAUUAGCAACAUUUUUUUAUAAUGGUGGUGUUCGGGCUAGCUUACGCACACCUCGAUUGUUACUUGCUACCUCCCACCACAUAUAGGUUUAGGUAGAGUGAUCACCUAAUCUUUUUUGUCUCUGUUAGGAUUUGAACCCUGAUCUGCACCCCGAUUGUUACCUGCUACCUCCCACCACAUGUAGGUUUAGGUAGAGUGAUCACCUAAUCUUUUUUGUCUCUGUUAGGACUUGAACCCUGAUCUCCAAGGUUUGCCCCCAUUGACUGCUAGGCCACAC
rnacentral:lncRNA from 1 species